rnacentral:rRNA from 1 species
GACGAACGCUGGCGGCGUGCUUAACACAUGCAAGUCGAACGGAAAGGCCCUGCUUUUGUGGGGUGCUCGAGUGGCGAACGGGUGCGUAACACGUGAGUAACCUGCCCUUGAUUUUGGGAUAACUUCAGGAAACUGGGGCUACUACAGGAUAGGAGCUCCUGUUGCAUGGUGGGGGUUGGAACGUUUCGGCGGUUGGGGAUGGACUCGCGGCUUAGCAGCUUGUUGGUGGGGUAGUGGCUUACCAAGGCUUUGAAGGGUAGCCGGCCUGUGAGGGUGACCGGCGACAUUAGGACUGAGAGACGGCCCAGACUCCUACAGGAGACAGCAGGGGGGAAUAUGGCACAAUGGGCGGAAGCCUGAGGAAGCAACGCCGCGUGCGGGAUGACGGCCUUCGGGUUGUAAACCGCUUUCGCCUGUGACGAAGCGUGAGUGACGGUAAUGGGUAAAGAAGCACCGGCUAACUACGUG